rnacentral:lncRNA from 10 species
AGAGCUCACAGAAAAUCCACAGAUACUGAGAUCUUGGAGACUGAAUUGGAGUGAAGGCUCUACCAGAGUGUGUAGAGAUGGAGUCUCACUAUGUUGCCCAGACUGGUCUUGAACUCUCAUACAGAGUGUUUGUUUGUUUGUUUGUUUUGAGAUGGAGUCUCGCUCUGCUGCGCUCCUGCCACUCUGGGUGGGCCUGGCAGCCUAGGCAGCCUAGGCAGCCUGGGGUGCGCUAGAGGCAGGCUCCAUAUCCACGGACUACCCAGGACAUGAGGCUCCCAAG